GUGAACCUGUAGUACUCAGCCAAUGAGGAAACAGGGGAGAAAUCAGGUGUCAGGUAAUAGGGAAUAUAAGGUUAUGAAAAACUUUUACUGUGUGCUCCUGCUUGCAGAACACCCGCCAUUGCAAUCGCGAAUAAAAUAGCUUCACAGAAGAUCCUAUCUGAA